AGCAGUAGCCGCGGUAAUACGUAGGUCCCGAGCGUUGUCCGGAUUUAUUGGGCGUAAAGCGAGCGCAGGCGGUUAGAUAAGUCUGAAGUUAAAGGCUGUGGCUUAACCAUAGUACGCUUUGGAAACUGUUUAACUUGAGUGCAAGAGGGGAGAGUGGAAUUCCAUGUGUAGCGGUGAAAUGCGUGGAUAUAUGGAGGAACACCGGUGGCGAAAGCGGCUCUCUGGCUUGUAACUGACGCUGAGGCUCGAAAGCGUGGGGAGCAAACAGGAUUAGAUACCCCUGUAGUCCCUGUCUCUUAUACA
rnacentral:rRNA from 1 species